AAGUCGUAACAAGGUUUCCGUAGGUGAACCUGCGGAAGGAUCAUUCACAACAAGUGUUUUAUGGCACUUUUUAAACAAUCCAUAUCCACCUUGUGUGCAACGUUUAGAGGGUCUCUCACUUUUAAGUGUAGAAUCCCUCUAUAUUUACCAACGUCUUUAGUUAACUUGUCUGAACAUUUGUUAUCACGAAUUUACUUAAUUCGAAAUACAACUUUCAACAACGGAUCUCUUGGCUCUC
rnacentral:misc_RNA from 1 species